rfam:Phycisphaerae bacterium SG8_4 WOR_8-12_26801, whole genome shotgun sequence.
GGGUCGGUGCCCGAGUGGUUAAAGGGAGUGGGCUGUAAACCCACUGGCGCAAGCCUACAUUGGUUCGAAUCCAAUCCGGCCCA